rnacentral:rRNA from 1 species
UACGGGGGGGGCAAGCGUUGUUCGGAAUUACUGGGCGUAAAGGCGCGUAGGCGGCCUGCUAAGUCGGAUGUGAAAUCCCUCGGCUCAACCGAGGAACUGCAUCCGAUACUGGCGGGCUUGAAUCCGGGAGAGGGAUGUGGAAUUCCAGGUGUAGCGGUGAAAUGACGUAGAUAUCUGGAGGAACACCGGUGGCGAAGGCGGCAUCCUGGACCGGUAUUGACGCUGAGGCGCG